CUUUAAAGGUCCAGGGUGGAUUCAGUGGCAGAUUACAAGCAGCUGAACACCUUUUGCCCUAUAGGGGGCCACUACUGCCAAACACCAGGGUUUGGUUUGUCUGUUCUGGGCUUCUGUAGAAACAUGGUGGACUGUGUAGCAGAGGACCUGCUCCCUCCCUCUAAGAUUACCUACCCUUCACCACAAGCCUUGCAGAUGUCUUCAGGUUCUCUACACAGAACAUGAAGGUGCCAGUGUCCUCUACUGACAGCAAACGUGGGCCUCAGGAUCCGACACCACACACUGGAGUACAAUUGGGCAGCCUGCUUCAAUCGUCUUGGUCCUCAUUGCUUCAGGAAUAGCAAUAUAACCCAGAGUGGAAAAACUCUGCUGAAUGGACAAUCAGCUUUCUCUCCAGGCCAUCAGAUAGAAUAUCUACUCCAGUUUGAGGAAGGAGCUUUGACCCAUCUUUGUACCAGUGCACCUGGGCAGAAGGAUCUGAGA